CCCUGUUAAAAGAACAGCAAACCCUGAUUAAAGCCCUAACCCCCUUUCCUUCCUUCUCUUGCUAACCGAACCCACAAAAGCCUCCAACUAUGAUUACACCUCUUGAUCACCAUUUGCAAUGAUGAAUCAUUGAUAGGUGUUGGUAGAAGUAAAGACCAGCAAAGCCGUCACCGCAUCCUACUUCUUAUUCUUCUAAUUAUAUAAACACCACUCCUCAUUCCUUUGAUUCCAUGAACAGCAGAAGAGAGAACGGGGAGAAGGAGAACGACCGAAGCACCAGGGAGCAAGAACAAGAACGUUCUUCAAGUUCUUCUAGCCCUUCAUCAACCACAGCACCAAGAGAAGGAGGGUGAUGGCCAAGGAGCGAGCUGACCGAAGCUGAAGAGUGUGCUACAUCUUUGCUAGUUUAUUCAAAUUUUGUUAGCAUAGCUACCACCACAAACAAAGAGGGGUGAGUGAUCUUCCCUUACUUAUGUUUGAUUUGGCCGAAUGGCUUUGAGGAUGUGAUCAAAAUUCUAGUUCUUGAAUUGGUUAGGGUUCGGGUUCAGGGGAGAAGCAGGAAUAAAUUAUUUGUUUUUGAUCAACAAAAAAAAGUAAGGGUUAGGAUAGUUAGAUAUUGAUUGUGGCUGUGCUUGGUGAAUUGUUUGCUAAAUGAUGAAAUUGAUGUAUGAUUGUUAGUGAUGAUAUGCUAAAAAUUCUGAUUUUUGCUGA